GAAUCGAAAUACGCAGCGCGGUAUUAACAUGAAAAGUGAAGUAUUAUACAUAAUAAUUUGAAACGAAAUAAGCUUUCUGGAAUAAAAUAAUACAACUACCUACGUGUAAACGCAUUGUUAUUUAUAUUAUACCGAAUUCAAUUGAAUAUCGUAUAAUAAGUCGAGAAUAAGUAGAGAAAUAUAGCUGUAUAAGAUUGGAACCUAUCUCAUCUAAAAGCAGGUAAUACGAUUGUAUAAAA